AGGGGAGCUAAUGGGGCAUAGUGGGGCGUAUCGGCGUGGCCGGAGCGGACUUUUAAUCCGUGGGUUCAGGGUUCGAGCCCCUGGGGGCCUA
rnacentral:tRNA from 1 species